GGGCGCUUAGCUCAGUUGGGAGAGCAUCGCCCUUACAAGGCGAGGGUCACUGGUUCAAGUCCAGUAGCGCCCACCA
rnacentral:tRNA from 2 species